AAUUUUUUUGGUGAAAAUACGAAAGAAGCAUAAGAACUGAAAAUGUAAGCAGCAGGACAGAUUGAUCUCGUGUAUUUCCCUCAAUGAAAAUACCAAAUAUGUAUAACAAUGUUGACGUACGCACGACAUCACUAUCGAGAAGCGACUUACUCAAAAUGGCGUGUUCACUGACACGAAUACGUCGGAUUUUUUUAAGGACACUUUCGUUGUUUCAAGCAACGUACAUGCAUAAAUGUGACAUGUAAGUAGUCCGAAACAUUCUGAUGAUCUGCUGGUUGUUAUUUUCCUUUUUUUUCAUUGUGACCAAGGGAAAUAGUCAGAAAUGAGGAAAACUACCAUCGUCGGUGUGCGUGAGUUUGUGUCAGUCAUGGCAUCAGGCUUUCCAAAACUAUAAUAUGUUGUGAUGAAUCUAGGAAAUCAUUGGAAUACUCCUAUUUUAUUUAACUAUCGCUUGCUACGAUACCUUUCCCAUGCUUGGUCUAAAACUAAUGAGCAAGCAAUGAGUGGAUAUAGAAAAGCGUUUAUCAUGCUUUUUUUACAAGGGUUUGGAGCACAAAUGUUCAUGUAUUAUAAGUAAUUUUCCAAGCUGGAUUUCCUUAAUUAUCAUUUUCAAAAAAUACAGAUAUGCUUGUCUACACUUAGUUUAGAAAUAAGAACCAUCAAUAUUGAUUGGCUAAUUCUGACUGAGUUAAUUCUGACAUUUCAAGCAAUUUAUAACAGGGAUACAUCUGGUAAAUUUCAUUUUAUAUAUAAUCAAUUACAGAUAUUACAACAUAAAUGAAAAUUCAGAAAAUAUAACACUUCAAGUCACAUUGUUAUCGCUAACAAAACUAUCUCUUUGAGACGAACUUCAUUUAUCCAGACAUAUCUAUCAUUAAUCAAAGAACAUGUUCCUUCUGACUUUAUUGUUCCUUCCUUCACAACCAUGGAAACAUGAACUCAUACUACCUCUUGGUCACAGAGUUACAAUGGUAACAUGAGCUCAUACUACCUCUUGGUCACAGAAUUACCAUGGAAACAUGAGCUCAUACUACCUCUUGGUCACAGAGUUACCAUGGAAACAUGAGCUCAUACUACCUCUGGGUCACAGAGUUACCAUGGAAACAUGAGCUCAUACUACCUCUUGGUCACAUAGUUACCAUGGAAACAUGAGCUCAUACUACCUCUGGGUCACAGAGUUACCAUGGAAACAUGAGCUCAUACUACCUCUGGGUCACAGAGUUACCAUGGAAACAUGAGCUCAUACUACCUCUUGGUCACAUAGUUACCAUGGAAACAUGAGCUCAUACUACCUCUGGGUCACAGAGUUACCAUGGAAACAUGAGCUCAUACUACCUCUGGGUCACAGAGUUACCAUGGAAACAUGAGCUCAUACUACCUCUGGGUCACAGAGUUACCAUGGAAACAUGAGCUCAUACUACUUCUUGGUCAGAGUUACCAUGGUAACAUGAGCUCAUACUACUUCUUGGUCAGAGUUACCAGGGAGUCAGACAUACUGGAGAUUGAGGUCCGAGGGAAAUAUUGGCAAAUUACUGUAUAAACACAAGCACACUAGCAUCUCUACAUUACGAUAACUAGUCAUACCUUGCUACUGUCAGUACAUGUUCUUAAAUAACCAUCCUUUUAACACAAGUUUAUAACAAUGAAUCAUUAAGCAAACAUGAUUUUAAUAGCGAAGAAGUUCAAAAAGAAAUUCAAAAUUUACUUGGUAUUUUUUUGUAACAAAAAUAUAUGAAAAUCAAUGUUUCUGAAUAUUAAUGAACUUUGUCAUUCAGAUAAUUUAUAAACAUUUCCCAGAUGGGGUCAAGUAUUUACAAUAAUCGAGUCCUUCAAAAUCUGGAUAUUCACUGCCUAUUGAGUUUGAAAGAAAUAUUACUGUCAAAGUUAGCAACCCUUUGUUCUUAACUGUUAACAUGCUAAAAUCAAACCAAUAAAGAAAUGUAACUAUGGUAACAAGAAUGGAAUGUGUUCAGACCUCAAAGGAAAUAAUGUGGAAAUACAAAUCACAAAAAAAAAUCUUCAUAUUGCAUAAGAUGAAAACGUAAAUAU